GAAAUCACGGAAUCUAACACACACAGUGUUGUCUUAUUCAUCUGUUUUGAUACAACGAAGCGUCCCUGCCGCGACGCACACAAAUCUGAUUUCAAGAUUAGAGCGUGAACUUGUCACAAAGCAAAAAGCAACUUAACUUUCCGGAACUUUCGAGCUUCUUCACGGGCGCAUGGUGUAUGGCCUAUGUCUCAGUUGCAGGCCAGCAAGCACCUGCCUGGCGCCGCUAUGCCUGCCUCAACCGAAAAAAGCCACCCAAAAGUGGGCAGCGUCGGCCGCC